AUUGAACGCUGGCGGCAGGCCUAACACAUGCAAGUCGAGCGGAGCGGCGGACGGGUGAGUAAUGCCAAGGAAUCUGCCUGGUAGUGGGGGAGAACGUCCGGAAACGGGCGCUAAUACCGCAUACUAUCAGAUGAGCCUAGGUCGGAUUAGCUAGUGGGUGGGGUAAAGGCCUACGAUGGCGAUGAUACGUAACUGGUCUGAGAGGAUGAUCAGUCACACUGGAAAUGUGACACGGUCCAGACUCCUACGGGAGGCAGCCUUGGGGAAUGUUGGACAAUGGGCGAAAGCCUGAUCCAGCCAUGCCGCGUGUGUGAAGAAGGUCUUCGGAUUUUAAAGCACUUUAAGGUGGGAGGCGUUACUAACAGAAUAAGCACCGGCUAACUGCGUGCCAGCAGCCGCGGUAAUUC
rnacentral:rRNA from 1 species